rnacentral:rRNA from 1 species
CCUACGGGUGGCAGCAGUGAGGAAUAUUGGUCAAUGGGCUUACGCCUGAACCAGCCAAGUCGCGUGAGGGAAGACUGCCCUCUGGGUUGUAAACCUCUUUUGUCAGGGAGCAAUAUGCGCUACGUGUAGCGUUAUCGAGAGUACCUGAAGAAAAAGCAUCGGCUAACUCCGUGCCAGCAGCCGCGGUAAUACGGAGGAUGCGAGCGUUAUCCGGAUUUUUUGGGUUUAAAGGGUGCGUAGGCGGAAUGCCAAGUCAGCGGUAAAAUCGCGGGGCUCAACCUCGCUCCGCCGUUGAAACUGGCGGUCUUGAGUGGGCGAGAAGUAUGCGGAAUGCGUGGUGUAGCGGUGAAAUGCAUAGAUAUCGCGCAGAACUCCGAUUGCGAAGGCAGCAUACCGGAGGCGAACUGACGCUGAAGCACGAAAGCGUGGGUAUCGAACAGGAUUAGAUACCCUUGUAGUC